rnacentral:misc_RNA from 1 species
GGGAAACUGAGACUAGUGCCUUACUUACUUUUUAAAGCAGACAUCUGAACAUUCAAUCGGAAUUGAUAAAGGCAUACUCAUAUUUUUCGAGAUCCCACUUCUCUUCCUGAAAAGUCCCAGAGCUGAUGAAAUAGCUGUUCAGUCUUCUGAUUCAAUUCCAUCUGCACCUUACACCAGCAAGGGAAAGAUAGUUCUUACUCGUCC